UACGGAGGGUGCGAGCGUUAAUCGGAAUCACUGGGCGUAAAGCGCGCGUAGGCGGCUUUUCAAGUCAGGGGUGAAAUCCCACGGCCCAACCGUGGAACUGCCUUUGAAACUGUAGAGCUUGAGCGUCGGAGAGGGUGGCGGAAUUCCAGGUGUAGGAGUGAAAUCCGUAGAUAUCUGGAGGAACACCGGUGGCGAAGGCGGCCACCUGGACGACAACUGACGCUGAGGUGCGAAAGCGUGGGUAGCAAACAGG
rnacentral:rRNA from 1 species